rnacentral:rRNA from 1 species
GGGUCAUUAGGUUGGUCGUGCCACCGGUACGUACUGGUCUCACUGAUUCCUCCUUCCUGAAGAACCGUAAUGCCAUUAAUUUGGUGUUGCGGGGAAACAGGACUGUUACUCUGAAAAAAUUAGAGUGUUUAAAGCAAGCUAACGCUUGAAUACAUUAGCAUGGAAUAAUGGAAUAGGACGAUCGAUCCUAUUUUGUUGGUUUCUAGGAUUGACGUA